CAGAGUUGAGCUGCACAAUUCCAACAUGGUAACAUAGCUAAGGUUAGCCUAAUCCCUUUCCACCGUCGCCGGCGUGCCACCGGCGACCCGCCGAUGAGCAGCCACCGCCGGCCGGCGAAGAGCAGCUCCACCUCUCUUCUUUUUCUUCUUCCCCCUCCUCCCCUUUCCUUCCUUCUCUUCACACCCCCCCCAUCUCUCCUUCCUUUUCAUGCCUCUCGCCCGCCCCCACGCCCGCGCCUCCUCGCCUCCGCGCUCCCCGGCGGUCCCGUGCCUCCGUGCGCUCUGGCGGCUCCGCGUCUGCUCCGUGCGGCCCCGCGACCCGCGCGUCGCAUCCUGCACAGCGCCCCGCGCGGCUCCCCAGCGCCAGCCACGCCUCGCCUCCCGCGGCCCUGAGGCCCCGUGCCCCGAGGCCCCACCGCCCCGCCUCCCCCUGCGGUCCCUGCGCCGCGUUCCCCCGCGCGCCCCGCCUUACCUCCCCCCUCCCGCGGGCCACAGCUGCGGGCGCCCCCUGCGCCACGUCUCUCGCGGGGCGCUGCUGCCUGCUUCGUCCCUCGCCCAGAGAAGGGAACCAUUUCUCUCUCUCUCCAAAAAAAAAACCCGGGCCGAUGGCCUCUUCUACCACUGUCUGUGGCUCUGCCAUAGAGUAGGAGCUGCUUGUUCCGCCGCCUCAAUGCAGCUACUUCCUUCCUGUCUGGGACUACUGCUCGUGCUUCUGUUUCACCACCACUGCAUCCUUACCGAGACACAUCAUCUCAAUGGUUCCUUGAUUUUGGUGCUUCAUUUCAUAUGACUCCAGAUUCUACCCAGUUGUCUUUCUUGUCCUCCGUUGAUCACCCUCUUCUUGUUCAGACAACUGAUGGCACCUCUCUUUCAGUACCGGACGAGCUGAUGUCUGCUGGCUAGAUCACAGAUCAUGGAUGUCGCAUCAUUCUUGAGUCAGACUCUUGUUGUGUGCGGGAUCUUCGCACGGGACUUCUAGUGGGGACUGGGCCUAGGUGCCAUGACUCUCAGCGUCUUUGGGAGCUUGACUGGCUUCGCCUUCCCUCAUCCAUUGUGGCGAGUCCCUCAUCCACCUCACCUGCCCCCGCGGUUGCUGCUUCUGCUACUCUGCACCUACCUUUGCUCGGUGGCAUCGUCGCCUUGGCCAUCUCUCCGGUUCGAGGCUUUCCACUCUUGUGGGCUGUGGUGUUUUAGGUCCUGUGUCUGGUGAUGCUGCACUUCAUUGUAUGGGUUGCAAACUUGGUAAACAGUUGCAACUCCCUUAUACAUACAGUGAUUCUGUAUCGCAGCGUUCUUUUGAUCUCAUUCACUUUGAUGUAUGGGGGUCUGCUACUUUUGUCUCGAAAGGGGGUCACUCUUAUUAUGCUAUUUUCAUCGAUGAUUAUUCACGGUUUACCUGGAUCUA